rnacentral:rRNA from 1 species
GGUCAUUUAGAGGAAGUAAAAGUCGUAACAAGGUUUCCGUAGGUGAACCUGCGGAAGGAUCAUUACUGAGUAACGUUGGGGAGGUUGUGCUGGCCGCCUGAAUGGAGGCAUGUGCACGCCUCCUCUCCUACCCACUAUACAUACACCUGUGCACCUACAGGGCGAGGGCCCCCCUUCAGGAGCCGUCGCCGGGUCCGCCCGGCGGCUGGAGCCUUCGUCCUUGUUUUAAAUCAUCUACUCCAGUUUAUGCAUGUAAACAUCAUUUUAUAAAUGAAAUACAACUUUCAACAACGGAUCUCUUGGCUCUCGCAUCGAUGAAGAACGCAGCGAAAUGCGAUAAGUAAUGUGAAUUGCAGAAUUCAGUGAAUCAUCGAAUCUUUGAACGCACCUUGCGCUCCUUGGCAUUCCGAGGAGCAUGCCUGUUUGAGUGUCACGUAACACCUCGAUCCCCCUCGNCGUCACCAGACGUCGGUUGGGCUCGGAUGUGGGCGUCUGCCACGAGCUUCUUGCUCGAGGCUCGCCUUUAAAUGCAUGAGCCGGUCCACAGCGAAGGCGCCACCGCGGUCGAAUUAAGUUCUUUGCUCUUUUCACCGUCGAGCCGUUAGCCAUGGACUGCUUCCAAUCGUCUUCGGACAAUAACGAGGGGCCUUUGGGUCCCUUGUAGAUUGGCCUCAAAUCAGGUAGGACUACCCGCUGAACUUAAGCAUAUCAAUAAGCGGA